rnacentral:lncRNA from 1 species
UUUCAACAAAUUUCGACUCGAUGGUUUUUUUGACCUUCAUACUUUACAUAAAUACUUCCAAUUUUUGCCCCAAAACCAAGUAUUUCCGAGUGUUGUACAAUACACAUAUCACAUAUUAUUUACAUAGCCAUCCAGCCGUAUCUACAACAUAGCAGUUUACAAAAUCAUCCAUGUAAUGAUAAUUUACAACAUCAAUUAACAAAAUAUAGCACUAGGCAAGGUUAGAAACCAGCACAAUCUAGUUUACAUCAUCAAAACAUAUACUCAUGAUGGCAACUAUCAUGUUAUAGCAGAUUGUGAUGGGAAGCACCAAGAGCCCACUACUCGAUCAUACCUAGCAUAUUUACAACAACAUUAGAUAUUUGUGAUGUGAAUAGACAGUAGAAAGAGAAUUAGAACAUAUGUAAAAAUGACUUACAAGUUGUCUGAAGUUCUGAAAUCUUACCGUGCCUACAAAUGAGAAUAACAAAGUAUCUACGCCAAAAAAUGGGUCGGCAUAAACUUCAAAUAUUCACGUGUCAAAAAGUGUACACAUGAACCUCAAUGUGUAGGCUCCAUGUUCAUCUUAAAACGCUAACAAUAGUAGACAAUACUUUGCUUACCAAGUAAACCUCAAUUUGUUCAUGCUUGUUUAAAUUGGCCCAUGAUUAUGUUACCUCAUUAACAGAACACACACACACACACACACACACACACACACAUAGAGAGAGAG